CUUGGUAAUUGCCAUUUGCGGGACAGUGUGGAAAGAAAGAAAUGGAAGCAUAUUUCGUUUUGAGGCCCACUCUGCACAGAAAACUCUUCACAAAGCUGUAAAUCUCUUCAAAGAAUGGACAUCUAUUCACAGGGGGAAAUGGAAAGCAGAAAUUAAAGCAUUUGGAAGGAUGCUAAUGUAGAAGGAUGAGACUUGAGGCUUAAGCCGCGGUGAUGAGGGGAAAACAGCCAGGGAGGAGUGUCAGGGGACUGUCCCUCACACUUUGUGUGGCCUGGUCCCAUGUUGGUUGAGAGAAUCAGUGGAAGAGCAUUACUUCAUCGAGGUCUUGUCAACUCCCCAGCUCGGGGAGAAAUGGGUCUCCUAUAUAUGGAA
rnacentral:lncRNA from 1 species